GGUCUUGUGGUCUAGUGGUAUGAUUCUCGCUUAGGGUCCACCCUACAGCUACUUGUUUGCGAGAGGUCCCCGAUUCGAUCUCGGGCAAGACC
rnacentral:tRNA from 1 species